AGACCUACGGGAGGCAGCAGUGAGGAAUAUUGGUCAAUGGACGGAAGUCUGAACCAGCCAUGCCGCGUGCAGGAAGACGGCUCUAUGAGUUGUAAACUGCUUUUGUACAAGGGUAAACCUGAAUACGUGUAUUCAGCUGAAAGUACUGUACGAAUAAGGAUCGGCUAACUCCGUGCCAGCAGCCGCGGUAAUACGGAGGAUCCAAGCGUUAUCCGGAUUUACUGGGUGUAAAGGGUGCGUAGGCGGCUUGGCAAGUCAGUAGUGAAAUCCAUGGGCUUAACCCAUGAACUGCUAUUGAAACUGUC
rnacentral:rRNA from 1 species